rnacentral:rRNA from 1 species
AUACGUAGGUGACAAGCGUUAUCCGGAUUUACUGGGCGUAAAGGGCGUGUAGGCGGUCUUGCAAGUCAGAAGUGAAAUUCCUGAGCUCAACUCGGGCGCUGCUUCUGAAACUGCAGGACUUGAGUGCUGGAGGGGAUAGCGGAAUUCCUAGUGGAGCGGUAAAAUGCGCAGAUAUUAGGAAGAACACCAGUGGGGAAGGCGGAUACCUGGACAGUAACUGACGCUGAGGCGCGAAAGCGUGGGGAGCAAACAAGAUUAGAUACCCUGGUAGUCCACGCCGUAAACGAUGAAUACUGAGUGUAGGGGGUAUCGACUCCCUAUGUGCCGCAGUUAACACAAUAAGUAUUCCGCCUGGGGAGUACGGCCGCAAGGUUGAAACUCAAAUGAAUUGACGGGG